GCCGGGCUUGGUGGCGCAUGCCUGUAAUCCCAGUGGCUCAGGAGGCUGAGGCAGGAGGAUCUUGAGUUCAAAACCAGUCUCUG
rnacentral:sRNA from 1 species